CAAUUGCGUCUCGCGUUCAUCGGUGACUUUAGUGAUAUGGAAAGUCAACUAAGGCACGCGGUGAAUGCCAAUCGCUUUUGC
rfam:Enterobius vermicularis genome assembly, scaffold: EVEC_scaffold0004443